CACGAGUGGAAUUAUCGAGGAUUACCGCCUAAUAAAGAAGAAGAAGAAGAAGAAGCAUCAUCAAUUUCUUCAUCUUCAGCCUGAGUUUUUGUCUUUACACAACAACUUAUAUAUGUGUCAUCAAUUUCUUCAUCUUCAGCUUGAGUUUUUGUCUUUACACAACGACUUAUAUAUAUGUCAUGUCACAAUAACCUGCCCUUUUCUUUUUGAGUCCAAUUAUUUUUAUAUUAUAUUUAUAUAUGAGUUUCAUAUAUUCUUCUAUUGCUAAAAGUAAAACAAAAUACUUGGAAUGGGAAGAAUAAUUGAAUAUGAAAGUAUUUUAAAUUAAGUAUAUUGGUGGAACAACUCAAAUAAGAUAGAAAAUUCAGUGAUUCAGUGAAAGCCCAACAAAUCGAACAUUGAAUCACACAAAAACAAAAUAUUAUUCAACAAACUAGAUAUCCUGUUCUUUCUUGUAAUGUUUUGUUUGAGAGGAUCAAAGAGAUGAAUCUCUCUAUUGAAGAAGAGAAAUUGUCAGUAACUACCAAUUGCCUGAACUAUUGUACGCUCUCUCCACUUAUAAAAAGUAGCAAUAGUUUUGAGUUACAACUUCCUGUAAAUUUAUCUCAUUUAAACAAGACUAGAUUAAUUACGUGUGAUAUAACCAUUCAAUCAAAUUUAGCAUCAGUCAAAAAUAUUUGAACUUCUGCAUUUGCAAACCAUAUUAAAUAUCAGACGAAGAGGGGUGAUGUUUGACCUUCACAUGGCCUUCAGAGGUGACUGUCCAACCUUUUGUCCAAAUCGAGUAAACUCGAAUUGUUUUUAGGAAAAAUUACACAAGAAGGCAAACAUGUGAUGAAUUUAUGAUUAACUACUAUAGUUCAAAAUAAUUACAGUUCGCAACUAUAGGUAGGGUUUUACAUCAAAUUUUUCUCUCCUCUCUCCUACCAGUGCCCCCUCCUCUCUCGAUCUCGCUCGCCUAUUUCCUCAUAAUAUAUAGCUAAAUACAAUAGUUUUUGAUACAACUGUAUUCAUUUUGAUACAAAUCAGUUGUAUCAACUGUAUUCGUGAUACAACAUGUAUUCAACUCUCUCUCUUCAAGAUGUCGCUCGCCUCUCUCCCCCCUCUCAAAGUCUCGCUUGCCUCUCUCUUCCCCCAAACAUAUAUCUAUAAUUUGCAAUUUAGCGAACUAUAGUUGUGGAUCUCUAUAAUUAAGUAUAAACUAUAGUCAUUUUUGAAAGUUUUCCAAAAAAAAAGAAGGAAAAAUUACAUAAAUACACAACUCAAGAUAUCAUAAUCUCUAAAAUUUCUUACCAUUUAAAAAAAUUACAAAAAUUUCCUCUCGGAUACAUGUUUAUCCCCUCUAGGAUACAUCCCCCCCUCUGGAUACAUCUCUCCCAUUAAGUAAUAUAUCAUUUGUAAUGUAUCGUACAACCCAGAAAUGUAUCCGAGAGUAAUGAAAAAUCUGAGAUUUUUGUAAUUGGAGAAACUUCUGAAAUAAGAUGUAAUUAACCAAAUAUAUGAGAUUUAUGUAAAAUGCCAAAAACAAUUACCUAAAUACACAACUUAUUUUACCAUAUUCUCUAAAAAAAUCAACCAUUUGAAAAAAUCACAAAAAAUCCUACUAUCUCCUAUUCUUGGAUACAUCACUUUACGCGAUGUAUCGGUCGGAUACAUCACUUCAUAUGAUGUAUCGAUCGGAUACAUCACUUCACAUGAUGUAUCAAUCAGAUACAUCACUUUACGUGAUGUAUCGAGACGUACGCAAUGUAUCAGGACAUUGAGUGAUGUAUCGAGACGUUGAAUGAUGUAUUUGAAAUCGAGACGCAAUGUAUUAGAAUGUUAAGCGAUGUAUCCGAAAUUGGGACACGAUCUAUCGGGACACUUUUGGGUGUAUACGCAUUCCACCAAAUUUAAGAAAUUUGUGUAAUUUAAAAAGGAAUAGAGAUAGGAUGUAAUUAGCUCAUUUGCAUGAAAUUCCCAUAAAAUAUUAUGAAAUGGGUACUAGUUAAGUGACAAGCCCAAAAACAUAUGUUUGUGCACUUGGUUCUGAAUUAAGCCCUUUCUUGGGCCUUGUAUGUUGUUGUAGUGCAAAAGUAUCAUGGGGCCCUGUAUAAGACCCAGCCCAGAGGCUCAAAUAGGAAACUGGCUAGAGAUAGGAGACGGUGCCGAGUGUUAUCCACUUCUUUCUCGUUCCGAUUUCUUAUUCUUUCUUCUUCUUCUUGUAUCAGAAAAAAGAAAGAAAAGAAAAGAAAAGAAAAAUGGCGUCUUUAUCGAGUUGUAAUCAUCCAGGGAAACUCUGUUCCUCGUUUUCACCUUCAUCCCUUAAGUUGUCUUGGGUCCAACGGGUGUCGGUUCAGUUCAUUCACACCCACAGCCACACUUGUUCCCUUCCUUGUGCUCCAAGGGCUCUCACUGUCAUUUCCAUGGCCCCCCCUAAGCCUGGUGGUGGUAAAGCCAAGAAAGGUAUUAUUUUCAUUUUGCUUGUUUAGUUUGGGGUUUCAAUCUUUUUACUGAUGGGUUGCAUUUUGUUACAGUCACUGGUAUUAUAAAGUUAGCUCUCGAGGCAGGGAAGGCAACCCCUGCUCCACCCGUGGGUCCGGCCUUGGGUUCCAAAGGUGUUAACAUCAUGGCAUUCUGUAAGGAUUACAAUGCCAGAACUGCUGACAAAGCUGGUUAUGUUAUUCCUGUCGAAAUCACCGUCUAUGAUGUCAGUUCUUCAUUUUUAUUGUCAAUUAAUUCAAACAUGAUUAAAGUCUUACUAGUAUCUCAUUGUGCUUCUUCCUUCUCUUCCAGGAUAGAAGCUUCACUUUUAUCUUGAAGACCCCACCUGCUUCUGUUUUGCUGCUCAAGGCUGCAGGUAUUUGGAAUUUUUACCUUUAACUGCUAAAAAUGUGAAGGUUUAGUUUAGAGGCAAGUCAGGAAAACUAAAUGAUUCAUUUAGAGUUAGUGGAAGAGAUACCAUUUAGCUUGAACAUCAACGACACAAGAAUGUAUUUGAUUUACUGAUUGAUGUACGAUGCUCAAGGUCACAGAGUUUGGAGUUGGCUACCUUGGUGCUGAAUCAAUGUGCAAUAUCAAGCUAGUUUUGGAUGAGGACAUCAUAUCCUGGCCUAUUACUACCACACCCUUGCUUGUUGUUCCAACAUCAGUUACCAUAACUGUAUGAUACAUAUGACCCAUGGGUCUCUUACAAGGGCAACUAGCCGACCUGUCUCCCAGAAUUCCAUAAAUAUUUGCUUGCAGUUUGAGAUCAAGAAAUUCAUAACAUCCUCUUUAGCUCUAUAGACUUAUAGAGUACUUAUAAAAGAAAGGUCUUUAGUCUAUAGACAUUAAAAUUUAUGACAGCAAGGAAGAUGAAGGGUUAAGCACCUCCCUAUGCACUUCCUAAACAAUAGACACCCUUGAAGACAACCACUUGAUAUACUACCCCAUGAUCUUGGCUUGAAUCAGGAACUAGAACUAGUUCAUGGCUGAUAUUAGUUAAGCGCCUCACUGUGCACUUUCUAAACAAAAGACGCCUGUGAAGACUACAACUCGAUAUACUAUCCAACGAUCUUGGCUUGAAUUGGGUAUUAGAACAGGAUACUUUAGAGUCUUGUUUAUGAAGAUUUUCCCUCCUUCCAUGAUAUUUUUUGUAGUAGGACGUAGACAUGUAAAAUUACCGAAAAACUAAACUGAAAACUCCCUUUUUUUUUAUUUUCCAUGUUGCUCUGCUAGAUGGUUGGGCAGAAAGGGAGAAAGAAAAAAAAGAAAUAUUGAAAUCUGAAUUAGAAAAACAGUUGACUCUCUUUCUCUCUGGGUGGAGAAUGACAGAGACCCGUCAUAAAUAUAUAUGCUCUGACUGUGGUUUUCUACUCAUAGACUAUAGUUCUAUGCUCAUCCAAAUUAAGCAGUAGAUUUAAACAUUUCGUGUUUGGAUUGGCAAAAUCAUUACUGAAGUAACCCAUCCCAUUGGGAAUCAUAAGAAUGCAUCACACUAUUUGGGCAUGCUGUCCUUGCUUCACCAAACUAUAAAACUAAUGAAAUGAACUCCUUCGUUAUUGUAUAAGCACUGUUUUUUGGGUUACAGUUGAUUAUAACAACAUGAAAGGUAAUUUUUAAAGUAGAUAACAGUGAGUGAAAUAAAUUUGCUCAAAAAGUAGAAUCAUUAGCUUGUUCUACUAGAUGUUUAUGCAUACUGCUGUUAUCCCCCUUCUUUGGUAUAUGGGGUCAAACCCCCUGUUUUAUUCAGGGGAAAAUGCCAGCACUGACUUAGUGCUUGAUCAUCUUGAUGAAUAAGAUCUUUGCUUAUCCCACAAUAAAAAGUGUAAUUUCACAAUUUGGAAAUCAGGUGUUCGAUCAAAAUAGUACACCUUGUAGAUGUGAAUGUGAACUUGUGCUGGAGUUUAGCUUUUUAUGGUGCAGUUACUCUAUCUUUGCUAUAGCCUGGAUGUUAUAUGUUGUGGUGCAUACAAAAGUUUGGAUAGUUUUGGUUAGUUUCCAAAGAUGUAAAUAUGUAUGUAUGAUUAAUUAUUUUAUCACUUUGUAGGAGUGGAAAAGGGCUCGAAGGACCCACAGAGGGAGAAAGUGGGAAAAAUAACUAUUGAUCAAUUGAAGAUAAUUGCUCAAGAGAAGCUGCCGGAUCUUAAUUGUUCUACGAUUGAAUCUGCAAUGAGGAUUAUAGCUGGCACUGCAGCAAAUAUGGGAAUUGACAUUGACCCUCCGAUUCUUGAACCUAAAAAGAAAGAGCUUGUGUACUAGUUGUGCCUUUUCUAUUUCCAUGUAAUGUAUCCCUGUAUUAGAAGCAAAAAAAUUUGGAAGAGAAGUAGAUUGACUGCAGAAAGAGGAUCUCCCCGUGUACCUUCGAAUCUUUGUGUCUCUGUCUUUGGACUCUUCAUUCCUUAAUUAUUUUGAAUAUAUGAUGAAUGCCUAAGACACACUCUCAAGUGCAAGAUGCCAAUCCAACUUUUCGUCCAAGUGCCAUAAAUUGAAGAAGAAACAUUAGUCUGCUUGAAUUGUUUUCAACUACACCAUUUAUCAAGAGAAGAUGGCACAAACAUUUACUACUAAGAAAGCCUAUACAUUUCUUCAAAAGAAAGGACUGAUUGAUGCACACUUUAGUUUUUUUUUUCUUUUCAAUCCUAACUUCAAAUGUGUGUUGUUAAAAAUUUCACGUAUGCAUUGAAAAUAGACUAAUAUAACCUUUGAUUGUUUAAGUUUCAGUAGAGAGAAUGAAAUAUACAAAGCAGAGUCAUUGUUACCCAACCUAUGUUUUAGAGUCAUUCUUUCUACAUUAAGAAGAAGAAGAAAAAAGUAGACUCUACUUAAAAACGUUUGUAUGUAUAGGUUGGGUCAUAGGUUUGGGGGCAGAGAGAUCCUAAAAGCCAACAUGUCUGGCUGGAAACGUUUGUAUAGUGAGUGGGCCUUGGAUGUUUGGGUCCAUAUAUAGUUGGUUGGGAUCCAUCAGGAAUGGAUAAUAAGUAAGAUAAGGAGAGCCACCCACAACAUUUAUAUUGUGAAGCUAGCUCCCUGGCAGUGGCAGUAGCAGUAGGAGAAAUUAAAAUGAAAGCAAUUGAAAUAUACUGGUAUGGGGGCUUAGCCGCUUCCACUCUAUCACAAUCAUCAUCGUGUAUUUCCAAGGUUCAUCAGAGGUGCCUGCGUUUCAACCGAACAAAAAUCAAAGCAGUUGCAAGUAGUGAGAGAUCGAGAGAAGCAGUAGCACAUGAGGAGGAAGAGGCUUGUGUGAAGUUUGCCUUUGUCAGCGUGAGUAGUCUAAUUCAUCAUGAGUUAAUAUAUGAGUAGUCCCAUUACCAUUAAUAAGUACUCGUAAUUCGUUCAGUCAGUAUUCCUACCAGAUGGAACACCAGAUGUGCAGCUAAGGAAAGCAUGUGGUGGCCAAAAACUUAGAGACAUAAUGCUCGAUGCUAAUGUCGAGUUGUAUGGACCUUAUGUAUGUACUAGAGUAUUUCUUAUCAUCUCAUCCAGUUACUUAUGUAUAUAUAUAUAUAAUUAUUACUCCUAUAUAUUUAAGGCAAGACCUUUGCUCAAUUGUGGGGGAGGAGGAACUUGUGCCACAUGUUUGGUUGAGGUGAGUGUGAACAUUUGGUUUACUGCCCUAAAUUAAACUUGAUUAGCAUAUCUAACAUCGACAUCAAUUAUAGGUGGUUGAAGGAAAGGAGCUACUCAAUCCUCGCACAGACAAGGAGAAUGAAAAUUUAAAACGGGUAUAAUAUAUAUACGAGCAAGUCAUGAAUAUAUAUAUAUAUAUAUAUAUAUAGUACUGCUGUUAAUUUGUAUAUAUAUAAUUUUCAGCAUCCAAAGAAUUGGAGGCUUGCUUGUCAGGCAAUAGUUGGUAAACCUGAUUCAAGAGGCAUGGUACGUAUGGAUCGAAUUUUAUAUAACGUCUUAAUUAAUCUCCAACUGUUCGUCUAUUGACCAGUAAUCAGUUUGUACAGAUGACCAUUCAGCAACUUCCGGAAUGGAAAGCACACGAGUGGAAUUAUAGAGGAUUACCGCCUAAUGAAGAAGAAGCAGCAGCAGCAUCAAUUUCUUCAUCUUCAGCCUGAGUUUUUAUAUUUACACAACACUUAUAUAUAUGUCAUGUCACAAUAACCUGCUCUUUUCUUUUUGAGUCCAAUUAUUUUUAUAUACAUUUAUAUAUGAGCUUCGUAUAUUCUUCUAUUUGCUAAAAGUAAAACAAAAUACUUGGAAUGGGAAGAAUAAUUGAAUAUGCCAUCAAAAGAACUGCCUCAAAUUGUGUUGGAAUUGAAAUAAUAGGGCGUCAUGCUAAAGAUAAAAAUUUGAUCAAUUGACCUAUGCUUAUAUAAAAAAAGUUUUUAAAAUUAA
rnacentral:lncRNA from 1 species